rnacentral:misc_RNA from 1 species
GUAUAGAUUUAAAUAGGCGAUUAAGCCUAUUGAACAUGCUUAAGACAAUACUGUAGGAGUAUAUAAUAUAAAAACAUAGAUCGGAAAAUGUAAGGAGAGCUAGCUGGACUUUCCCCGCACAGCAAUCCUGAAACCGAGUUGCCUCGAGAGUUAUUCCAAGAUCUACAAAAUAAAAGGUGCACAGAUGGUUUAUUUUAAAAAAGGGUUGGCAUUAAGCGUGCACAUGCCGGGGCCAGCAACAACUCAAAACCAAGCUUAUUCAAUAAUGAUCCUUCCGCAGGUUCACCUACGGAAA